rnacentral:tRNA from 1 species
UGACUGAUAGCUCAGUUGGUAAAGUAUCUGCCUGCAAUGCAGGAGAUUAUUCCUGGGUUGAUUCUUCAGUUAA